UUCCUUGGUCAUUUAGAGGAAGUAAAAGUCGUAACAAGGUUUCCGUAGGUGAACCUGCGGAAGGAUCAUUAUCGUUGGGCUUCGGCCCAUUCGAGAUAACACCCUUGCCUUUUUGAGUACCUUUUCGUUUCCUCGGCAGGCUCGCCUGCCAACGGGGACCCUUCAAAACGCUUUGUAAUACCUGUAAUUGUCUGAUAUAACAAGCAAAAAUCAAAACUUUCAACAACGGAUCUCUUGGUUCUGGCAUCGAUGAAGAACGCAGCGAAAUGCGAUAAGUAGUGUGAAUUGCAGAAUUCAGUGAAUCAUCGAAUCUUUGAACGCACAUUGCGCCCUUUGGUAUUCCUUAGGGCAUGCCUGUUCGAGCGUCAUUUAAACCUUCAAGCUCAGCUUGGUGAUGGGUGACUGUCCUCCCCUCGCGGGUGGACUCGCCUCAAAAACAUUGGCGGCCGGUACAUUGGCUUCGAGCGCAGCAGAAACGCGGUCUCGAGCCCGGUGGAUCGGCUCCCAUAAGCCUAUUCUUUUAUUUUGACCUCGGAUCAGGUAGGGAUACCGC
rnacentral:rRNA from 1 species